rnacentral:rRNA from 1 species
UACGAAGGGUGCAAGCGUUAAUCGGAAUUACUGGGCGUAAAGGGUGCGUAGGCGGUUCGUUAAGUCUGCCGUGAAAUCCCCGGGCUCAACCUGGGAAUGGCGAUGGAUACUGGGCAGCUAGAGUGUGUCAGAGGAUGGUGGAAUUCCCGGUGUAGCGGUGAAAUGCGUAGAGAUCGGGAGGAACAUCAGUGGCGAAGGCGGCCAUCUGGGACAACACUGACGCUGAAGCACGGAAGCGUGGGGAGCAAACAGG